rnacentral:rRNA from 1 species
GAUGAACGCUAGCUACAGGCUUAACACAUGCAAGUCGCGGGGCAGCAUGGGGGUUGCUUGCAAUCCCCGAUGGCGACCGGCGCACGGGUGAGUAACGCGUAUCCAACCUGCCCUUCACCACGGGAUAACCCGGCGAAAGUCGGACUAAUACCGUAUGUUGUCCAUUGACGGCAUCCGAUUUGGACGAAAGGUUUGGCGGUGAAGGAUGGGGAUGCGUCCGAUUGGCUGGACGGGGGGGUGACGGCCCACCGUGGCGGCGAUCGGUAGGGGUUCUGAGAGGGAGGUCCCCCACACUGGAACUGAGACACGGUCCAGACUCCUACGGGAGGCAGCAGUGAGGAAUAUUGGUCAAUGGGCGUAAGCCUGAACCAGCCAAGUAGCGUGCAGGAUGACGGCGCUAUGGGUUGUAAACUGCUUUUAUGCGGGGAUAAAGUGGCCCACGUGUGGGUUUUUGCAGGUACCGCAUGAAUAAGGACCGGCUAAUUCCGUG